rnacentral:lncRNA from 1 species
AAUAAAGGCAACAGUAGUAUACCGCUGUUCAAAACUCAUAAAUCCAUGGACAAAAAACAAAAUCGGGGUAACAAACUAAAACCGAGGAAAACGCAUUAAAUAUAAGAGGAGAACAACGACAUAACACCGAAACGUAACACACACAGAAACGGACCAAGCAUCAGACAAAACACCACGAGAAUAACAAAUAUAACAUGAAAACCAAAUACAUGAAUUUGGGAUAGACAAGUACCGUGCCACGUCUUAUCUCAAUUUCUCAAAAAUAAGAGAAAACACAAACGACUCAACGUUAAAAUGCAACACACACAUAAACGAACAAUAAUAUAACAAUGGCCAUCUUCCUGACUUGGUACAGGACACUUUUAAAGGGGAAUAAAAGUGGUGGGUUGAACCUGGUUUUGUGGCAUGCCAAACCUCGCACUUUAAUGGCAAAGUUAAAUAUAACAUUGAAAUGACAACAUAAUAUUACAGGACUACAAUACAAAUUAAUAGAAC